CCUCACUUCCAUGGGACUCGUCAUCUGUUAUUCGAGACAUGAUCUUUGUUAAUCGGCAAUGAUAAGCAAUUUAUUGAUAAUGAAGCAUUUUAUAAAUUGUGCGCUGUAAAACAACAGUCUCAUAAAGCAAACAGAAAAAUGAGGAACGUUCUUUGCAUUCUUCUUGUUCUGGCCAUUUUUGUGGCAGCUUCUGAAGCUGGCCUUUGCAAUUGGGUCUGCAGGAAAGUAUGCAACACGAAAGACUACUGUGAAACUUUGUGCACUUUCUUAUGCACUGACCCUGAUGAAGUGCAGGGAAGCGUACAAUUUCCAGAAUAGGAUUAACACAAAGUAGUCCUACAAUAAAUAACUUUGUCAACAGGCUGCACAUUACAGACGAGAACACAGAGAAAAUGACCCGCAUCUCACAAUAGCUUAUUUGUAAAACCAAUGAAUCUGAUUUAUGGAUCAAUAAAAUAAUAUUCCAG